rnacentral:rRNA from 1 species
AUGUUGGGUUAAGUCCCGCAACGAGCGCAACCCUUGCCUUUAGUUGCCAGCAUUAAGUUGGGCACUCUAGAGGGACUGCCGAGGAUAACUCGGAGGAAGGUGGGGAUGACGUCAAAUCAUCAUGCCCCUUAUGCUUAGGGCUACACACGUGCUACAAUGGGUGGUACAGAGGGUUGCCAAGCCGUGAGGUGGAGCUAAUCCCUUAAAGCCAUUCUCAGUUCGGAUUGUAGGCUGAAACUCGCCUACAUGAAGCUGGAGUUACUAGUAAUCGCAGAUCAGAAUGCUGCGGUGAAUGCGUUCCCGGGUCUUGUACACACCGCCCGUCACACCAUGGGAGUUGGGGGCGCCCGAAGCCGGUUAGCUAACCUUUUAGGAAGCGGCCGUCGAAGGUGAAACCAAUGACUGGGGUGAAGUCGUAACAAGGUAGCCGUAUCGGAAG